rnacentral:tRNA from 1 species
GCGCCCUUAGCUCAGUUGGAUAGAGCACGCGCCUUCUAAGCGCGGGGUCGCUGGUUCGAGUCCAGCAGGGCGCG